rnacentral:rRNA from 1 species
UUUACAUAAAUCUCAAAAUACUUUUAUGCAAAAGCAUCCCAAUGAGA